rnacentral:rRNA from 1 species
UACGUAGGGACCGAGCGUUGUCCGGAAUCAUUGGGCGUAAAGAGCGUGUAGGCGGCUAUUUAAGUCCUGCGUGAAAUCCUGCGGCUCAACCGCAGACGGGCGUGGGAAACUGGAUGGCUAGAGUGCGGGAGAGGAGAGUGGAAUUCCCGGUGUAGCGGUGAAAUGCGCAGAGUAUCAGGAGGAACACCAACGGCGAAGGCAGCUUGCUGGGACGUAACUGACGCUGAGACGCGAAAGCGUGGGGAGCAAACAGG